rnacentral:lncRNA from 1 species
AAUAAUCAAAUGAAAAUGAAACAUAAAGUUGUGAAGGAUUUUUUUAGUUACAUACCUCAAAUGUGUCUCCAACAUUCAUAAUGAAAGCAUUAGGCAGGGGUGGAACAGAAAUCCAUUGUCCAUCCUUUCUAAUUUGAAGGCCUUCCAUAUCAUUGAUUUCAAGAAGGAUUGUGAGGCCACNNNNNNNNNNUUUGUUGGCAAGUUUUUCCAACUCUGCACAAUAUAUCUCUAAAUUUUCUCUACAUUUGAAUUAGAUUGAAAAUGUCACUAACACAAACAAUGAUCAAUAAUAAUUAAAGAAAAAUGUUAUUUGAACACCAAUUUUUAAACAAAAAUACUACAACCUACGUAAAUCAUGUGAAAAUUAAAUGGAAAAUUGUCAAAGACAAAAUGGUCUUUUACAACAAAACAAUUUUUCUAUUGAAAAUACUUCUAUAUGAAUCGAAUGAUGUUUUGAUAUCUUAUAUGUAUUCUAAAAAAAUAAAAAUAAAAAUAAAAAAUUAACUAAAAUUUUAAAAGUAGAGUGAAUGUGUGCGCGCGCGAGAGAACCUGAAUGUUUGGGGCAUAUGAUCGUAUAUAUGAGGUUUUCUUGUGUGAGGUGGUAGUGUGUUCAAGAAAAAAGCAUCUCCCCAUUCUAAUUUUUGUUCCUCAGAAAAAAUGAAGGCCUGACCAAAUCCCUCCAUGUCUCCUUCUAUCUGCCAUAGCUUCUUCUUUUCUUCCAUUGAAAGUUCAAACAAAGAUUUAGAACUUCUCUUCAUACUUUCUAUCAAGGUAGUACUUACUCCAUGAUUAAUCACCUGCAAUGAUUAACCAACUAAGUGAAUAACUACUUGUUAUAUAGUAGUACUUAAUUACUCCAUAUUUUAUAAGGUUCGCAUUUUAGGAUGCGAACUGUUUUUUUCCCAAUUUUUGCUAUUUACACACUCGCAUCCUACAUUAUGAGGGAGUAGAAUUUGAAGGUCGGGGAGAGCGUGCAAGACUCAGGGGACGCGAAAAGAAGAAGUCUUAUUUCAUUAUAGUACAAAUAUUAAAUCAAACCUGAAAGAAACCCCAUUCUUUGCCAGCACAGUGUAGCUUCUCUAACUCAUGUCCCUUGAGAUUGAGAUCUUGGGACAACAAUUUUGCAAGAUCAAUGACAGGAACUUGAGGUAAAGAGGUAUUGUUAGAUAGUACUGCAAUUUCUUGAGCUGGAAGAACAUAUCGGUCUGGAACUUUGGUCAAUGGUUCAUUUGCUAGCACUUGUACAGAGGGCACUAGAAUAGAUGUUACUUCCAUGCUACUUUCACCUGAAUACAAGUGCAACACUAAAUUGUAAUAAAGAUUUCAUGAUAUUAAUGUCAGAUAACAUAUUAUCCUGUUAAAUUGUUAGGAUAGAGCUACAUCAAUGGUUUUAUAUUAUUUCUAACACGUCUUUUUACGCAAGAGCCCACUUGGACUUGAAGUGUGGAUAAUACAUAGGCCCACAUACAAUAUGUUUAAAUUCCACUUUUUAAUUAAAAAUUGAGGGGACCGGGGAUCGAACUCACCACUAAGUCAUAGAGGCUCUGAUAUCAUGUCAGAUAACCGAUUAUCCCAAAAGUUUAAACUGUUAGAAUAAAGCCACAUCAAUGGUUUUAUAUUAAAGAGUAGAGUUAUGCUUUGAUAUCUUCCUACCAAAUGUAGAUAUGAAGGUUAGAAAUUUAAUGGUUUUAGUUUCACUCAAAAAGGAGUUAAGUAGCUUAAGUUAUGAUCAAAAUAAUUCAUUAAAAGUAAUUUUUUUUUGACAUCAUUAAAAGUAAAUUAAUAAUAGAAUAUAAAAAAAUAUUAAUAGUAAUAAAAAAUACAAACAAAUUUAUCUUUAUAAAAAGUUAAGCAGCUUAUUCUGAGAAUAAAUCUAUUUUUAAAAUAAUUCAAUAAAAAUAAUUGGCUCAUGCGUAUAGAAAAAUUCGGUUGGAAGGGGAGAACUACUUUAUGUGUCCCACAGGUUUCUCGACGAAGAUUAGACAUCGCUAAUGACGGUAGAAACUUCAUACCAAUAUUAUAAUAAUAAAUAAAAAGACUGCAUCAUUAAAAAUGGCUAUUUCAAAGAAAUUUAUUUUCUUUUAAAAUUACCCCAUAACUCUAACUUGACCAUUUUAAAAAAUUAAUUAACAAUUGUAUAUUCAAUUAUAAAGCUUUUGAUUUUGGAGUUUGCUAACUUAGAUCCACCUAAAAAUAUGAAGGUCUAAGUUAACAAGGUGCACUUUUUCACUUUAGACCAAAACACUAUUUUUUACUAUUUUAAAUUUUAAUAUAGUUUCAAGCCAAUGAUAGUUUAGUAAAACUGAUUUGAUGUUUUUACAUGAAGAUCUAAAUUAGAAAGGUGUAUCUUUCAAAGUUGAGUAACAUGAUGUUUUCUUUAGUUGCCAUUCUUAAGUGUGUUCUCCAUUAAAAACAUGAAUUGAAUGAUAGUUUUCAAAAAGAUAAGAACUGAGGGAGACAGAGAAAGAAAAUAUAAGCAAAAGUAUAGAGCUAGGGAAAUUAAAGAGCUGAAAAAAUUGGAAAAAGGAAUGAAAAAUGAGAUAACAAAAUGGAAAGGAAUAAGAAAGUAAAAAAUAAAUUAAUUAAACAAACACACCUUAAGCUUUAGAUCGGUUUGUAUCUGUUUAGAGUGUUUGUCUUAGAAAGAUGAAUGCUCUUUUAUAGAAAUGGGUUUAGGUGGAGUCCCACAUCACACUAAAACAAGUGAGCUCCAUUUAUUUAAGUGAUUAGUUUCAUAUAAGCUUAAAAUGAGUGUUUCCUCCAAUUAAGGUCAUACUAAUUAAUUUUUCCGGUAGUUAAAAAACUAAAAAAUGUAAAUUUUACAAUAAAAAUGGUAUUUUAUAUACUAAUCAAUUCUAAUGCUUAUUAUGCUACACUCGAAGUUACUGCGCUUAUCGGUGAAUAUGAGUCACAUAUGCUUUGUAGUAUCUUAACAAAUAAUUUUUUUAAAAAAAACAAGUGAUAAAAAUGAUAAUUUUAUUACAUUAACUAUUAUAUUUUUUUUCUUUAAGGAUUAGCUAUAUGAUUUUUAAUGACAAGGUGAAAAGAUAAAACAAGAACAAAAGUGGCAAGAGAAAAAUGCAAAGCUAGCCAACUCAACCUCAUCUCACAGAGUUAUUUUUUAAUAAUUAUAGUGCAUUAUAACAAAAACUAAUUAAAAAAUUGACUAUUCUUCAAAAGAUGCCUAUGUUGGUUUGAAACAAAAGGAAGAAGACAAACUCCUCAUGAACCAUAGUAAGGUCGAAUAAACCCAUCUCCUAUGGUUGAAAUUGACCAGAGCUUCAAGUUGUGAUAUCUUGGUAGUUUUACAACUCAUUCAAAUUUAAGCAAAUUGAGAUAAUUUUUUAAGGAUUAAUUGGAUGUGCAUCUCUUUGAUCCUCCUUGAGUUGCUAGGACUACACAAGAUGUGCAACUUGAUCGUUUUUAACUCAUUUUCAAAACACAAACAAACUCAUCAUUCAAUAUCUUUUUAUUUAAUCAAACUCUCACAUCUUUUUACCGAAUCACAAAAAUUUUGUUUAAAAUUAUAACCAACACACGAGCAUUUUCUACCAUAGAACUACGUAGCUUUGAAUUCUCCAUUGCAAUAAAAAGGAGAAAAUAAACAUUUCGAAGUUAACAAAUUUUAGCACAAUUAAUUAAAGGUUACCGUUUUGUUGGAUAAUCACGAGGGGGCAGCCGGGGAUCAUCCACAUUGGGCUUAAGAACAACUCUACAAGUGAGUUGGACACCACACUCUUACCCAAAACCUUAAGGUGUUAGGUUUAUGGGUCAUCUCACUUAUAAAGUGUUCANNNNNNNNNNNNNNNNNNNNNNNNNNGAAAUUGACCAGAGCUUCAAGUUGUGAUAUCUUGGUAGUUUUAAAACUCAUUCAAAUUUAAGCAAAUUGAGAUAAUUUUUUAAGGAUUAAUUGGAUGUGCAUCUCUUUGAUCCUCCUUGAGUUGCUAGGACUACACAAGUUGUGCAACUUGAUCGUUUUUAAACUCAUUUUCAAAACACAAACAAACUCAUCGCAAUUAACUUCCUGCAUUCAAUAAAAAUUUUCUUUAAAAUUAUAACCAACAUACGAGCAUUUUCUACCAUAGAACUACGUAGCUUUGAAUUCUUCAUUGCAAUAAAAAGGAGAAAAUAAACAUUUUGAAGUUAACAAAUUUUAGCACAAUUAAUUAAAGGUUACCGGUUUUUAAUGGAUGUCUUAGGGUCCUAAUACCUUUUCUACGCAUAAUCGACUUCAGAAUUCGAAAUUUGGUUUCAAAGACCUUUUUUGUUUUAAAGGGCUUUCCAACAUUUUUUCUAUUUCAAUAAAUUUUAGUGGUGACUUCAUUGUUUUAGAUCAACCCUCAAAUUUUAGACUGUAAGACACUCAUUAGAGAUGAAAGUGAAUGAAAAAAAAGAACAAAGAAAGUUUUACUUAUUUUUAUUUGCAUAUAAAAGUUGUGACAUGCACACUUUUCUUAUCAUCAAUAUUAAUCUAAGCCAACUCCUAUACAAUGCUACUAAUAUCAUCUUUUAAAAAAAGGAGUUGUUAUUAUUCUCCACCCUUUCUAAUACCCAUUUGUAUUUUUGACUUUUUCUUGUCUUUAUUUCAUAAUUCAUAUAUAUAAUAUUAUAUUUCUCAUUAAAAAAAAAUCAUUCUCCAUCCUUUGUGAUCCUCAUUUCAUUUAGAUAUGAUUUUCCACGAAGCUCUUGUGCAAAGUACCCAUUAAAGUGGUCUACAACACUAAUUCUUCUAAAUUGUGCUGGUGUUUCUUGAGUAACAAGACUUGGUGCUGGAGCUAAAAUUGCUUGCAUGUUAGGUCCAUAAAAAGUAGCUAGGGAGAUUCUCUCCUUCUCUGAAUUAACUGUUGCUCGAUGCUCAAUGCUCGGAUAAAUUCCAUUUGUUAUAAUCUGCACAUUAAAUGAGUUUAUAAAGAGUGAUAUCUCUUACUUUAAAUGAGUUAGACUCAAUAAAUAUAAAAACCUAAGACGUACCUCUAACAUGUCUCCGAUAUUGAUUAUGAAAGCAUUAGGCAGAGAUAAAACAGGAAUCCACUGUCCAUCCUUUCGUAUCUGAAGGCCAUUUAUAUCACCGAUUUGAAGAAGGAUGGUUAGGCCACCAACAUCAGAAUGAGAUUUUAAGCCAAUGACUCGUUCUGGUUGAGGGCAUGGAGGAUAAUAAUUCACCCUUAACAUUUGAGUUCCUGGGUUGAACAACUCUGUCAUUUCCUUCGGAUUUAUUGCCAAAGCAUUUGCCAUAUGUUCAAUGACUUUGAUUGCAAGUUUUUCCAAUUCCGCAGAAUAUAUCUCUAAAUGUUCUCUACAUUUGCAUAAGGAUGAUAGAUGAUGUCACUUACAAAAACAAUUAUACACAAGUAUUGGUAAAUUUUUUAGUAAAAAAAAUGAAAGGCGUCAAAAAAAAAGAAAAAGAAGAGUGAGUGUGUGCGCGCGCGAGAGAAC